UGUCAGCCGCCGCGGUAAUACAGAGGGUGCAAGCGUUGUUCGGAAUUACUGGGCGUAAAGCGCGUGUAGGCGGCGUUAUAAGUCGGAUGUGAAAGCCCUCGGCUCAACCGAGGAAGUGCAUCUGAUACUGUAGUGCUUGAGUGUCGGAGGGGGUGGCGGAAUUCCCGGUGUAGAGGUGAAAUUCGUAGAUAUCGGGAGGAACACCUGUGGCGAAGGCGGCCACCUGGACGACAACUGACGCUGAGACGCGAAAGCGUGGGUAGCAAACAGGAUUAGAUACCCUGGUAGUCCACGCUGUAAACGAUGAGUGCUAGACGCUGUGGGUAUUGACCCCUGCGGUGUCGAAGUUAACACGUUAAGCACUCCGCCUGGGGAGUACGGUCGCAAGAUUAAAACUCAAAGGAAUUGGCGG
rnacentral:rRNA from 1 species